GAUGAACGCUAGCGGCAGGCUUAACACAUGCAAGUCGAGGGGUAUAGGUUUUCGGACCUAGAGACCGGCGCACGGGUGCGUAACGCGUAUGCAAUCUACCUUUUGCAGAGGGAUAGCCCAGAGAAAUUUGGAUUAAUACCUCAUAGUAUAGUACUUUGGCAUCAAGGAACUAUUAAAGUCACAACGGCAAAAGAUGAGCAUGCGUCCAUUAGCUAGUUGGUAAGGUAACGGCUUACCAAGGCUACGAUGGGUAGGGGUCCUGAGAGGGAGAUCCCCCACACUGGUACUGAGACACGGACCAGACUCCUACGGGAGGCAGCAGUGAGGAAUAUUGGACAAUGGGCGCAAGCCUGAUCCAGCCAUGCCGCGUGCAGGAUGACGGUCCUAUGGAUUGUAAACUGCUUUUAUACAGGAAGAAACACUCCGGACGUGUCGGAGCUUGACGGUACUGUAAGAAUAAGGAUCGGCUAAACUCCGUGCCAGCAGCCG
rnacentral:rRNA from 1 species